rnacentral:rRNA from 1 species
CGAACUCUGGUAUUGAUUGGUGCUUGCAUCAUGAUUUACCAUUUGAGUGAGUGGCGAACUGGUGAGUAACACGUGGGAAACCUGCCCAGAAGCGGGGGAUAACACCUGGAAACAGAUGCUAAUACCGCAUAACAACUUGGACCGCAUGGUCCGAGUUUGAAAGAUGGCUUCGGCUAUCACUUUUGGAUGGUCCCGCGGCGUAUUAGCUAGAUGGUGAGGUAACGGCUCACCAUGGCAAUGAUACGUAGCCGACCUGAGAGGGUAAUCGGCCACAUUGGGACUGAGACACGGCCCAAACUCCUACGGGAGGCAGCAGUAGGGAAUCUUCCACAAUGGACGAAAGUCUGAUGGAGCAACGCCGCGUGAGUGAAGAAGGGUUUCGGCUCGUAAAACUCUGUUGUUAAAGAAGAACAUAUCUGAGAGUAACUGUUCAGGUAUUGACGGUAUUUAACCAGAAAGCCACGGCUAACUACGUGCCAGCAGCCGCGGUAAUACGUAGGUGGCAAGCGUUGUCCGGAUUUAUUGGGCGUAAAGCGAGCGCAGGCGGUUUUUUAAGUCUGAUGUGAAAGCCUUCGGCUCAACCGAAGAAGUGCAUCGGAAACUGGGAAACUUGAGUGCAGAAGAGGACAGUGGAACUCCAUGUGUAGCGGUGAAAUGCGUAGAUAUAUGGAAGAACACCAGUGGCGAAGGCGGCUGUCUGGUCUGUAACUGACGCUGAGGCUCGAAAGUAUGGGUAGCAAACAGGAUUAGAUACCCUGGGUAGUC